UUUUUUUUUGCACAUAUGAAAUAUAUUUGUACUAUAUGUCAGUUGUCUCUUUCUUCGACAAGCAUUCAGAUACUUGAAACCGGGGGCGCUUUAGUCCAGUGACAGCUCAUGCUACAGAAUGUACGUGAAAAAUAAGAAUAGGAGUAUAUCAUUGAUGCAUAGUAACUACAAUGGAGCAUCUAGUAUGCCUAAUCAAAGCUAAGUUGGUACACGAAAACUGACCAAGGACGAACUAAGAUUUUUAAAGCUACAAUCAAGGACCAAGAAGUUGAUCAAAAGGCAGCAUCCAUCAGAACUCAAGCUUGAGAACUUGCAUCAACCAUUGUCAACUGCCGAUUGAAGUCCAGUAACACAUGUCAACAAGGAAGGAUAUGAGUGCUUCUGAAUGAAUUCCCGAUAAAGAUGCAAACUUUGCCAUCGCUAGAACAUGAGAUAAUAUUUCUACAGGAUAGAGUAAUUUUGAAAUGAGUGAAGGAAAUGUGCUAGAUAACAAAAAUCAACAAACCACAGUUGCUUGCAGAAAUGGUCUCACGAUCCUCCCAGAAAAGAGAAUGACAGUCAUUAGACUCGGUACAAAUACUUAUAUGAAGAUAAAAAUGACUGGUUGCCAAUACCACAACAUCAAUGAGGUAAGCAAUUGCAACGCAUUGUCCCUGAGCUAUGCAGCUCCUUAUAAAGUAUCCCACCAAUCUUGAAAUACAUGUCAAAACAAUACCUACUUUCACUUUUGUAGAAUGCACAUUGACUGCAUGGCCACGAUGAAUCACCAAAGUAGAAAGGCUUCAUUGAUAGUGAUUUCCAACAGAAUCUAUAAAAGACAAGCUUUUAUGCAGGAUUAAUGAUGUUGGAUGACGGGUGGAGUGAGAGUGAGGUAUUGCGCAGUGCUAUCUCUAAUCAUUAUGAUGUGACAAAAGUAGAAAAAAACAUGCGAGUCCCAAGUAAUGAGGAGGAGAUGGAGUAAAAUUUCCUAAGAACACUUUGUUUCUAGAUAACCAAAUGCACCAAAGCACACAUGAAACCUUUAAAAAGAUGGACUCCCUGGAAUGUUUGCGAUUAUUAGCAUUGUAGUGUCAUUCUCCUAACCUUAGUUGCUGCAGACAAAGGACGGCCUGAAUCCCAGCCAAACAAACUAAUAACUCAAAUGAAUGUCCAUGAACCAUGGAUGGUUGGUUUAGGAAGACGGGGGUAACUUUUCUCUCAUACGUUUGCUUCUUAUUCAAAAGGGGAAAAUAAGUCGAAGUCGCAGUGAAAUCCUCAUCAUUAGAAAAUCCCCAAAUGAGUCAAUCCAAGGAGCCAAAUGAACAUACAUGGAGUGGUCAAAUGAACAAAGCGGUACAGGAAGUAAGCAACCGUACCACAACGACAAUACCAUAUUUGAAUAAUGCCAAACACCCUGGAUAAAGCAAAAUUCACUUAUGACUGGUAACAAGAAACUGAAACAAUGAAGUAAACCAAGCCAAAUAAAACCACAACUUGUGUUCGUAUCAAUUUGAUCAGCAACAUGAAUUCUUCUUUGUUAUUGUCCCUGCCAAAGGCUAUGUACUUAGAGGCAUUAAAUAAAAUCAUCCGAGGACCAUCAGCCCACAUUCGUCAGUGCUCUCCUUUCCAAGAAAGAAUGAGAGGACAUUGUCAUCGUCAUUUGCGGAUUUGUGUAAAAGUAGGGACAAAGUUUCACAAAAUCAUCAUUGACAAACAUUACUUUUCCUAUGUCUUGUCUUUCUUUUGCUUCACAUAAAAAAUGAUAGGACUCCACGCUCACAAUCCAACUGAACACAAGUAUUGCUGAAAACAAACUGAAAAGACCAAUAAUUAUUUCAACUCCACUCUAUUCUAUAUUUAAGCAAGAUUUUUAAGUCGAAAAAUAUCAGCAAUUGCAUCAUUGUAAGCAUCAUAAUGAAGAAGAGACAGCUGUGCAACAAUGAAAACACAUACCUAAUGACCUCGUGGCCCUCGUGGGUGAAACAAGGCUUUCCACAUAAGUUCCUGCUUCAAACUGAGCUGGACGGCCAUGAACCACUAGCUCCUUGGAUUCCUUCUCUCGUGUAUCAAAGAGGACUAAUUUGUAUCCUUCUACAUUAAAC